UUUUUUUUUUUAAAGAAAAAAAAAGACUUUUUUUUUUGGUUUACCUGUGUUACUAGUUUUUCCGUUUCAGAUGGUGUUUAAUUUAUGAGUGUCUUUUUUUUAAAUGACACAACCCGAUCUUGAGCUAGACAUCGCUCAUGGGUUUCCUAGUUUGACCGGAUAUGGCUUUAGGAAGCAUGAAAAUUUAGCCACUUUAUCUGAAUUUCAUGUGUUGCCUUUGUGUUUUCAGCUCAUUUUGCUUGUCCUUUUUGAUAGUAAGAAAUAAGAUGGAUUUGUAGCCAGCUGAAC
rnacentral:misc_RNA from 1 species